CCGGGCGGCCAGGCGAUCGCGUGGCAUGCCAUGAGGAAAGUCCGAGCAUCACAGGGCAGGGUGCCGGCUAACGGCCGGUGAAGGCAACUUCAAGGAAAGUGCAACAGAGAUAGACCGCCCCGCGCACCCCGCGCGGAGCAAGGAUGGAAAGGCGAGGUAAGAGCUCACCCGCGGCCUGGCGACAGGCUGGCGCUGUAAACCCCACCCGAUGCAAGAUCCGACCGGGAGCGAUACGGCGGCCCGUCGUGCUCCCAAAGAGAUCGCUUCAGCCGCGCGGCAACGCGCGGUGGAGAUAGAUGAUCGUCCAACGACAGAACUCGGCUUACGACCGCGCCGGCAGC
rnacentral:RNase_P_RNA from 1 species